GACGAACGCUGGCGGCGUGCUUAACACAUGCAAGUCGAACGGAAAGGCCCUGCUUUUGUGGGGUGCCCGAGUGGCGAACGGGUGAGUAACACGUGAGUAACCUGCCCUUGACUUUGGGAUAACUUCAGGAAACUGGGGCUAAUACCGGAUAGGAGCUCCUGCUGCAUGGUGGGGGUUGGAAAGUUUCGGCGGUUGGGGAUGGACUCGCGGCUUAUCAGCUUGUUGGUGGGGUAGUGGCUUACCAAGGCUUUGACGGGUAGCCGGCCUGAGAGGGUGACCGGCCACAUUGGGACUGAGAUACGGCCCAGACUCCUACGGGAGGCAGCAGUGGGGAAUAUUGCACAAUGGGCGGAAGCCUGAUGCAGCAACGCCGCGUGCGGGAUGACGGCCUUCGGGUUGUAAACCGCUUUCGCCUGUGACGAAGCGUGAGUGACGGUAAGGGGUAAAGAAGCACCGGCUAACUACGUGC
rnacentral:rRNA from 1 species